GAAGUGUGGACGCCAGUCUGCAUGGAGCCGACCUUGAAAUACCACCCUUUAAUGUUUGAUGUUCUAACGUGGACCCGUAAUCCGGGUUGCGGACAGUGUCUGGUGGGUAGUUUGACUGGGGCGGUCUCCUCCUAAAGAGUAACGGAGGAGCACGAAGGUUGGCUAAUCCUGGUCGGACAUCAGGAGGUUAGUGCAAUGGCAUAAGCCAGCUUGACUGCGAGCGUGACGGCGCGAGCAGGUGCGAAAGCAGGUCAUAGUGAUCCGGUGGUUCUGAAUGGAAGGGCCAUCGCUCAACGGAUAAAAGGUACUCCGGGGAUAACAGGCUGAUACCGCCCAAGAGUUCAUAUCGACGGCGGUGUUUGGCACCUCGAUGUCGGCUCAUCACAUCCUGGGGCUGAAGUAGGUCCCAAGGGUAUGGCUGUUCGCCAUUUAAAGUGGUACGCGAGCUGGGUUUAGAACGUCGUGAGACAGUUCGGUCCCUAUCUGCCGUGGGCGCUGGAGAACUGAGGGGGGCUGCUCCUAGUACGAGAGGACCGGAGUGGACGCAUCACUGGUGUUCGGGUUGUCAUGCCAAUGGCACUGCCCGGUAGCUAAAUGCGGAAGAGAUAAGUGCUGAAAGCAUCUAAGCACGAAACUUGCC
rnacentral:rRNA from 1 species